rnacentral:rRNA from 1 species
AGUGAACGCUGGCGGUAGGCCUAACACAUGCGAGUCGAACGGCAGCACAGUAAGAGCUUGCUCUUACGGGUGGCGAGUGGCGGACGGGUGAGGAAUACAUCGGAAUCUACUUUUUCGUGGGGGAUAACGUAGGGAAACUUACGCUAAUACCGCAUACGACCUACGGGUAAAAGCAGGGGAUCUUCGGACCUUGCGCGAUUGAAUGAGCCGAUGACGGAUUAGCUAGUUGGCGGGGUAAAGGCCCACCAAGGCGACGAUCCGUAGCUGGUCUGAGAGGAUGAUCAGCCACACUGGAACUGAGACACGGUCCAGACUCCUACGGGAGGCAGCAGUGGGGAAUAUUGGACAAUGGGCGCAAGCCUGAUCCAGCCAUACCGCGUGGGUGAAGAAGGCCUUCGGGUUGUAAAGCCCUUUUGUUGGGAAAGAAAAGCAGCAGGUUAAUACCCCGCUGUUCUGACGGUACCCAAAGAAUAAGCACCGGCUAACUUCGUG